UCCCCAGUGGCUCAGAUGGUAAAAGAAUCUACCUGAAAUGUAGGAGACCUGGGUUCGAUCCCUGGUUGGGAAG
rnacentral:tRNA from 1 species